UUCACAGAAUAUUAAAACUCUUUCUGGAGAUGAUUAUACUGGUGCUUUUAAUAAAUUCAAGGAAAUCAAGUUAAUUGAAGCUCUAUUUCAGAGUUAUCAAACUGAUGUUAUGAUAUGGCCAAAUAGUAAAUCUAAGGAAAGUGUGAUGAAAAGGGUGCAAUUCUUAUAAGUGCUCCUGCAGUAAAAGAAAUUCCUAUGCUGAUUUAUAAUAAAUUAGAAAGUUUUGAUUGUGCUGUACUGGAUGCUUGUAGAAAUCUUGAUUUCACUGAUAAGCUUUGGCUUAUCUUAAAAGAAUGCUCGUCUAUUGAAGAGCUGAUAGAAGCUCUGACUUACGUUUUUAAUGCUUUGAAGGAAGUCAGUCCUCCUUUAGUAAGUAUAA